GCUUUUAAUGAUGGAAAACAACAAUGGCGGAGUUUGCGCUCUCUGGUCGCAUGAUAGUUCAAAGAGGGAGAGAGGAAAGAGGGAACGUGAGGAAAAAGUACAAGGUCAGGAAGAACCAGUAAACUUUUAUCACACCAUCACUGAUGAGAAAGAGUGCUGGAUUAAAGGUAGAAACUGGAGCAGCUUGUCAGUAUGUUAAUAUGUCAAUGAGUGACUUUGUUUUCUUGUAUUUAGCUUUGUUGCCCCCAUGUCGACAUGUGUUUGAAGCUGAAGGUAGUUUGGUGAGUGGUGAAGCUGAGUUUUUGACCGAUCAGUUGAACUUCUGAUGAUGGACAAAUUGAAGCUUUCACUGAAAGCAUCUCACCAAUAAAUUACUACCAGAAACCGAGACACAAAAGCAGAAGAGGGACUGCCUUUACCAUUUUCUCUAAGUAAAUGAAAAUGAUUUGAGAUAAAAUAGAAACUGCUUCUUGUUGAUGAUAGAUAGCCCACAAUAUUCUGGAUUUGAGUAUAAAAAUAAAUUUUGGUUG
ensembl:lncRNA